rnacentral:lncRNA from 1 species
AAGCUCUUUCAGAUUUGAGUAGGUAAACAACAUUCAGGUCUGUAUGUAUUCUUCUACCAAGUACAUAAGAAGUACAUAAAAGAAGUAGAAAAAGACCACAAAUAGUUAAUUGGAGUAUCCAGUGCUUCCACUGUCAUGAGGAUGAGAAGGAGCAUCAUUUGAAGAUGUGACAACUGUAAGGCUACCUUUCUGCAAGUUAAACCUGAG